UGACAUACGGGAACGUCAUUAUGAGAAAUAGGAUUUGGUAGCAGUUAUCUAUUUAGGCUUGAUGAUGGUUAUGUGGUUGAUGCAACAAAACGUGGUGGGAUUGCUAGGUUUAUAAACCAUUCUUGUGAGCCCAACUGCUACACCAAAGUUAUAAGUGCUGAGGGUGAAAAGAAAAUUUUUAUUUACGCUAAACGCCACAUAGCAGCUGGUGAUGAAAUCACAUAUAACUACAAGUUUCCUUUGGAUGAGAAAAAGAUUCCUUGCAACUGUUGUUCUA